rnacentral:rRNA from 1 species
AUUGAACGCUGGCGGCAUGCUUUACACAUGCAAGUCGAACGGCAGCGCGGGCUUCGGCCUGGCGGCGAGUGGCGAACGAGUGAGUAAUACAUCGGAACGUGCCCAGUAGUGGGGGAUAGCUCGGCGAAAGCCGGAUUAAUACCGCAUACGACCUGAGGGUGAAAGCGGGGGAUCUUCGGACCUCGCGCUAUUGGAGCGGCCGAUGGCAGAUUAGCUAGUUGGUGGGGUAAAGGCCUACCAAGGCGACGAUCUGUAGCUGGUCUGAGAGGACGACCAGCCACACUGGGACUGAGACACGGCCCAGACUCCUACGGGAGGCAGCAGUGGGGAAUUUUGGACAAUGGGCGAAAGCCUGAUCCAGCAAUGCCGCGUGUGUGAUGAAGGCCUUCGGGUUGUAAAGCACUUUUGGCGGGAACGAAAAGGACUGUGCCAAUACCACGGUUCGAUGACGGUACCCGCAGAAUAAGCACCGGCUAACUACGUG